CGGCCCUUCCAUUCUAUUUAGUGUGCGCUUGCAAAUCAUAUAUACAUAGAAUUUUUAAAUACACCAAAAAUGGAGCUUUGCACAGUGGCAGCAUCGUAGCCAAUGAGGUUUAUCUGAGGCGUGAUUAUUGCUAAUACACCAAAAAUAGGAUCUUAUACUGAGCAACUCACUUGUCUCAUUCAACAAAAUUUUCGGGAAACCUUUCCAUCUUCCUCAACAUAGGUCUGAAUGAUUCUUUAAUGACUGUGAUAUUACGAAGUAUGGUUCCUGUAAUACACCCAUCUCCUACCCCAAGGGGUAUUACAGUUGUGUCCAGCAGUUUGCUCUUGGCUGUGAAGCUUCAGCUUGUGCACCAGUGCUGCCCUCCCAGGAGGGGGCAGUCCUGAAAGUACAGUUGUUGAUGAUCUGCCUUUACUUUAACUUAAAAAUUUUAAAAAGUCUUAAAAUUCAAAGAUAGAGUGAAAGAUAUAGUGAAGGCUGCUUACUCUUAUUCCUCGGCCACUCUGAUCGCCUGCUAGAAGCCAGUUUGCUGGUUUCUUUUGUACCCUUCCAGUUUGAACUUUAAAACCCCCAACAGUCUACCCCACGGCCCUCAGAGAGGCUCCUGUUUUACUAGCCGCAGCAAUGGGCAGAUGGGCAGAAUCCCUUGCCAUCCCACUCUGAACCGCAUCUGAGCUGUACUGCACCCGGCUGUCCCUCUGGCUCUCCAUCUGCAUUCCCUCCUUUUUCUUCAGGCAGCUGUCUUUUCACUUCUAUACAAUCAAGUUUUUUUUUAACAUUGUAUUGUGUAAUUAUAAUGAAAUCAUCUGUACUUUUUCUAAAGGUUUAUUCAAAAAGCGGAAAACAACAAAACCCAUCUCUAUUACUAUGACUAUAUAAAUAUUGUUUGCUCCAUAACUAAAUAACAUAAUACAACUGUUUCUUCCCCAUACAGUCUUUUACCCUCAGAGGUUCUAAUUACCUCUCUUUGCUUUUAUUAUAUCUUCAAUUUCUUUUUCUUAUUGUGAAGUGUUUCAAGUAGGAAUAGGCAGGCAGAGAGGCCCACCUACCCCAACUCGAUGUCAUAAGUUCUGGAUAUAAUUAGGCAAAGCUAUAGAAGAUGAUUUUGGAAGGAAAGAUCUGAUAUGACUUCCUUUGUCAUUCAAGAUCUCCAAUGGAUCUCCCAGGUGUCAUUAAGACUUUACAUAAGGUGGGACCUCACUGGAUCUAGAGUCUCAGUGCUCACUAUCCCACUGCACAAGGGCAAAGAGAAGAUAAGAGGAUGCAGUGAUUGGGCAAAGAUAUUGGGGCUCAUAUCACUCUUCCAGAAAAACCCUGAAGACCUGUGUCUCUGUCUAGAGGUAUGCUUACAGAGAGCAAGCUCUCUUGGUUCUUGAGCCAAACUCGGCAUCAGCAAGAAAAUUGAGUAAGUGCCCGGAGUUAUUAUCACCCCAGCUUGUUUCCCUUUGGUCUGCCUUGUGAAUCUAGGAUUUUAAUAUCCUUUUACUUAUCCAGUCCCCCUGAUUCUGAGGUUGAUUGAAGUGCCACGGUCUAGUUCACUUUUUUGCAGUCCAUGUUUAUGAGUCAAGCAUCAGGAGAGUCAGAUCAGGGCAGGUGACUUCUUUGGCGCACUUUUCUCCAUACCAUUUGAACGUCACGGAUUCGGGGUCUAGCUCUGAUUCAGCUGGUUCUAGUGACUAAUCCUUACUUUCUUAUUGAUGCUUGUCACAGUUUUGGCCUCUUCAGCUUGACUCUUGUCACUCUUUUGGAUGUUUUUGAUGGUCUAUGUGAUAUUCUACUCCCAACUUCAGUUCUAUGGCUCCAAACACAGAAUCACCUAUUCUGUAUUCUUUUUGUAGUAGUGUUAGAAACCAAACGGAGUCCCAUUAAGAUGGCACAGCAAAUUCAUGACUUGGCCAACCUCUCUGUUCCAAACAUAUAAUAAAGACACAUAAAAUAUAAAAAAAGAAAAAAAAUAAAAA
rnacentral:lncRNA from 1 species